GCUUUUGUUUUGUGAGCGUUUUUGACACCACCCUACGGACUUGAGGGAUUCAGCUUCAGUAGGGUGUAAACAAAUCUCUACACUACGCCGAAUAAGGGAUCAUUUGUUAUUGAUGACUGUGAAAGCGGACUUCACUCGUAGAAUGUAGACGAAAUGUGUUGUACAUUAAAGGGUUGGCAUUGGAUCAUUUAGCAAUGUUAUCCCAAACAUUUGUGCAACAAUGGUCGCCAGGUGAAUUGUCCAUAACCAUAUGAUAUUUCGACGAUGGCGACACCUGCAGAGCAAGACCUUGCAUUAGCUGAAGCAGAAAGCAACAAGGAGAAGUCUCAAGUAUUUGGAAUCCUUAGGUUACAGGAAGAAAAAUCGGCCGGUGAAAAAGCUAGCACCACGACCAUGAUGGCAGGGGAUGGGAGAUGGCAGGCGCCCAUAUUUGCCCUAGCCAGGAAAGCAUCGGAGACCUUUUCAGGAAGCAGCAGUCAUGUUCUGGCAAAGGUAGCGGAACCCACAUCUUUUGUAAACGAAUGGAGUGUCCCAGCUCUGCGGGACCCUAUGUCGAUGGAGAGAACUAACCUGCUGAACAUGGCCAAGCUCAGCAUCAAAGGCCUGAUCGAGUCGGCCCUCAGUUUUGGACGCACCCUGGACUCCGACUACCCUCCACUCCAGCAGUUCUUUGUUGUCAUGGAGCACUGCCUCAAACAUGGCCUCAAAGUGAAGAAGUCCUUUCUUGGAUACAACAAGUCACUGUGGGGUCCUCUGGAGAUGGUGGAGAAGUUGUGUCCUGAGGCAGGAGAGAUUGCAGCCAGCGUCAGGGACCUACCAGGACUAAAGACUCCACUGGGCAGAGCUCGGGCCUGGCUGCGUCUGGCCCUGAUGCAGAAGAGGCUGGCUGAUUACCUCCGCCUUCUGAUCACCAGAAAGGACCUGCUGAGUGAUUUCUAUGACAACUCUGCUGUGAUGGUAGAGGAGGAGGGUGCUGUCAUUGUUGGCCUGCUGGUGGGACUCAAUGUGAUCGAUGCCAACCUGUGUGUCAAGGGCGAGGACCUGGAUACACAGGUUGGGGUCAUUGACUUCUCAAUGUACUUGAAAAAUGACAUUGAUGACUACAGAAGUGGAGAAAGAAAUGGUCAAGUAGCAGCCAUCCUAGACCAGAAGAACUAUGUUGAAGAAUUAAAUAGGCAGCUUAAUUCUUCAGUACACGGCUUACAAGGGAGGGUCGAUAACUUGGAGAAAUCGAACUCUAAACUCAUUGAGGAGCUGGCGAUUGCAAAAAAUAACAUAAUCAAACUGCAAGAGGAGAACCAUCAGCUUAGAAAUGAGAACACUAUUAUUCUCAUAAAAGCUCAGCAGCAACUUGAGGUGACCCAGGUUGACGUGGAUGUGGAGCUGGACACCUAUAAGCAGUCGAGGCAGGGCCUUGACGAGAUGUACAACGAGGCCAGGAGACAGCUCAGGGAGGAGUGUCAACUACGCCAGGAUGUGGAAAAUGAGUUGGUGGUACAGGUGAGCAUGAAGCAGGAGAUGGAUCUGGCCAUGAAACUGUUGGAAAAGGACAUUCACGAAAAACAGGACACACUGAUCGGCCUGCGCCACCAGCUGGAUGAAGUCAAGGCCAUCAAUGUGGAAAUGUACACAAAAAUGCAGACUUCUGAUGAUGGCAUGAAACAGAAGAAUGACAUAAUCACUCGUUUGGAGGAGAAGACCAAUCAAAUCACAGCAACCAUGAAACAGCUGGAGCAAAGUGAUAAAGAUUUGCUGAGCCAGACACGCACACUCGCCAUGUCAUUUGUAAAAUGUGCCAGCACAGACACUGAGAACCAAUACAAGCUUGUUAAAGACAUCUCUUUCUGAGCUUUUAAACACAACCACUAACUCUCAGUAAACACUAGGCAGGGGAUUUGUUCAUAUGCAGUAUCGUAAAGUAACAGUUCAUUGGUUUUUGUAUCAGUCUGUUGAGAUAAGCUUCUUUCACAAAAUGAAGUUUUGUAGUGCAUCCCAUUAUUGUGGUGUGUAAUAACUAAUACACUCAAACAUAUCUGUAAGAGCAAAUACUAUACUCAUUAUAGCCAAUAAAAAGUAUAACAAUUGUUUAUCACAUGACACAAUAAAGUUAAAUGUUUUGAAAUUGUGGUUGUGGAAUGAUGAAAUCAUUGGCAGCACCAUUACGUUUGUCUUUGAGUGUAGUGAACACACCAUCUUUAGCCCCAUGAGUGUGUUCAUGGAAAUGUUAAACUGGCCUGCCACUGCCUGGCCAUCUUCCCUCCAAAGGGGCCUGCCUGCCUGUAGGUGUUUGGUCUUCCCUUUUUCUUCUGCCAGUUUGUCCCAUUGCAUCCCAACCCCUUGUACCCCCUUUUCUUUGUGAUUGGAGCCUCAGUUUUACCCAGUUGGUUUGAAUUACACCAGAUUACAAGAGGCAGAGCGGGACCGCUGGACUGCAGAAGAUGGAGCUCGCAAAUUCAAGCAUGACUUUGCCAACAAAGCCGACAGCCUCCAAAAGCAGAUAGCCCAGAGAGAGAAACAAAUGCUGCAGCUGGAGACAGACCUAAAGAUUGAGAAGGAGUGGCGGCAAACCUUACAGAACGACCUGGAGAGGGAACGAGACAUCGUCGCCCAGCUUAGUGCUGAAGCCCAACAAAUAAAUGGACUUAAAAAGGAGUUCCACAGGCUGCAGGAUGAGAACAGCCAGCUGAAGGGGAUUUGUGAAGAACAGGAGCAGGCCCUGGAGGAGUUAGGCUGCAAACUCAGCGAAUCAAAACUUAAAAUCGAAGACAUAAAAGAGGCAAAUAAAGCUCUUCAGGGAGGGCAGGUCUGGUUGAAGGACAAAGAUGCUACCCACUGUAAACUUUGUGAGAAGGAGUUCUCCAUCUCUAGGAGAAAGCACCACUGUAGAAACUGUGGGGAGAUCUUCUGCAAUGCCUGCUCUGACAACGAGCUGCCCCUCCCUGCCUCACCAAAACCAGUGAGGGUCUGUGAUACGUGCCACGCCCUUCUCCUCCAACGCUGCUCCUCCAAUGCCACGUGAGAUGCCCCCCUUCAGGCCCAGCCGCAGCUUUAACUCAAUUCCCCGCAGCUCAGACUACCAGGAAACCUCUGAGCUCAUGUGACUGUUAUCACAUGUCAAGUGUGUACAUUCUACAAGGUAUAUCGCUUUGUGUAGCAUGAGAUUUGAGAUGUUAUAUCUGUGACACUAAGGUUCUUGUGAUAAAUGUCAACAUUCCCUUAUAAUAGAUAAACCAUUUGGGCAGCUGAGCAUAUCAUUCCAAAUCUGCAGUAAGAAUAUCUUGAUGAGACAAUUUUAAAGUAUGUUUCUCUGUGUGACACAGUGGCUGAGCCUGAUGUGAUAAGGACUGGAGUCAUAUUUUUUGUUUUGAGUCAUGUUAUUUCACUUGAACGGUCUGAAAGGAUGAGUACAUUUUUGUUGUUGACCAAAUCUCUUUUUUAUUUACAUUUGUGUGCUUUCUCAUUCCCAUUAUGGUGAGAACCUGGGAAUGCUUGAACACGGAAAGUAUCACUCGAGGUUAACAAAAUGGAAUAACAUUGUGGAUAAAGUUUAAUGACACUUUUGUGUACAACAUCUAAAGAAAUGCAUCACUAUACUGAGUGUUGUCAUUUCCAAAAAUAUAUAUGUUUUUGGAGCUGUUUUAUCUGUGCCCCUGCAACUGUAGAAAGAGCACGAGGAAAUAUCUUGCUGGUGGGGUUUCUCAAAACCAAGUGAAAUCGCAAAAGAAGUGGCUGAACACUUCUAUAGCAUGCUAUUUACAAAAAAAGAGAUUUGGUUAUACAAAGUGAACUUCUUCUCCUAUAACUGAUGUAAUUCACAUGUGCCUCUAAUAAGCCAAAAUACUAAAUGAGUACCUUUCAGACUUGUUUCUGCAUGGUAGAAUGCAGGCACAUUUCAGAAGUAUGUUUACCAAAAGCACUGUUCCUGAUACUGCUUUGUGACAAAUAAGCAGAGACUACAAGACAGAGCAAAUGUAUGUUGUACUUUUGAUUAGGUAGGCCUAAUAAAUUAUUACCUUAAGUAUUCAAAUACAGUAUCUAGCUAACAAUUCAGUUUGGAAACAUGCCAAUUGUAUUUCUUUUCAGAGACUAAUCAGGCAAGUUAAAAAACUUGGAUCACUAAGUGGCAAGAAAUUUGAGAUGCACUAAUUCGUGUAACCACUUAUACACUUGCUGGAUUUUGUUUUGUAUUCAAUCAGCAAAGCAAUGUUUACAAUAUAUAAUUUUACAAAACUGGAAUUAAUACUUUAUUACAAAUGGAUGUCCUACAUCUCACAUAGAUGAUCAAAACAUACUGUGUGCAGUAUGUUUUCAAUAUAUUGUCUUGUUCACUAGAAACCAGUUACUUUGCAAAGCAUUAAUUCAUGUUGCCAAUCAUGUCAUUUUGACUAUGAAAUUUAAAGUGAUUGAACGGGAUCUUAAGCAUUUACAAAUAUGUAACACAUACGGAUUGCAGGAUUUUUUCCCCCAUAGUUUUGCUGGACAUAAAAUAUGAAAUGGAUGUAGUACACAAUAGCGGACAUGAAUAAAGAUGGCGUCCCCCAUCUACUUACAGAA